rnacentral:rRNA from 1 species
UACGGAGGGGGCUAGCGUUGUUCGGAAUUACUGGGCGUAAAGCGCGUGUAGGCUGCUCCGAAAGUCAGGUGUGAAAGCCCCGGGCUCAACCUGGGAAGUGCACUUGAAACCUCGGAGCUUGAAUGCCGGAGAGGGUAGCGGAAUUCUCGGUGUAGAGGUGAAAUUCGUAGAUAUCGAGAGGAACACCGGUGGCGAAGGCGGGUCUCUGGGCCGUAACUGACGCUGGAGGAGCGAAAGCGUGGGGAGCGAACAGG